rnacentral:ncRNA from 2 species
AAUUGCUGUAGAGGAGCUUUUAGCAAUAGUAGAUAGUUGAGCAGGCAUGCGACGAUGCUAUCGAAAGGGUAUAAAAGCCGAAAUACAAAGUAAGGCAUUACUUUGUAUUGGUAGAAAUUCACAAUAGUUUUCUACUCUCUGGUGUCAUCCAUUGGUGCUAUAGCUUUA